AGGUUUGGAAAGACCCACCACAGAAGGUAAUAGUCCUGUAUGUUAAACGAGAAGACUUCAGAUAUGAUCCAGAGUACCACGGGACACGUGAAACCCUGUGGGAAGCAGGAGGGACCACCCUCCAAGGCUAAAUACUACCUAGUGACCGAUAGCGUAUAGUACCGUGAGGGAAAGGUGAAAAGAACCCCGGGAGGGGAGUGAAAUAGAACCUGAAACCCUGCACUUACAAGCUGUGGAAGCACAUUUCUUGUGUGACCGCGUACUUUUUGUAGAACGGGCCAACGAGUUACGUUAAGUAGCAAGGUUAAGCACUUAAGGUGCGGAGCCGUAGCGAAAGCGAGUUUUAACUGAGCGUUCAGUUACUUGACGUAGACCCGAAACCGGGCGACCUACCCAUGAGCAGGAUGAAGCGAAAGUAAAAUUUCGUGGAGGUCCGAACCCACGAGCGUUGAAAAGCUCGGGGAUGACUUGUGGGUAGCGGUGAAAUUCCAAUCGAGCCCGGAGAUAGCUGGUUCUCCCCGAAAUAGCUUUAGGGCUAGCCUCAAGGUGAGAGAUACGGAGGUAGAGCACUGAAUGUCCUAGGGGGUAUUGCACCUACCGAAGACUAUCAAACUCCGAAUGCCGUCAUCUUAUACUUGGGAGUCAGACUGUGGGUGAUAAGAUUCAUAGUCGAAAGGGCAACAGCCCAGAUCGUCAGCUAAGGUCCCUAAAUGUAAGUUAAGUGGUAAAGGAUGUGGGAUUGCACAGACAACCAGGAUGUUGGCUUAGAAGCAGCCACUCAUUCAAAGAGUGCGUAAUAGCUCACUGGUCGAGUGAUCCUGCGCCGAAGAUUUCCGGGGCUAAAACUU
rnacentral:rRNA from 1 species